GGGGGUAUAGCUCAGUGGUAGAGCAUUUGACUGCAGNAGAGGUCCCCGGUUCAAAUCCGGGUGCCCCCU
rnacentral:tRNA from 1 species